AUUGAACGCUGGCGGCAUGCCUUACACAUGCAAGUCGAAUGGUAACAGGUCUUCGGAUGCUGACGAGUGGCGAACGGGUGAGUAAUACAUCGGAACGUGCCCAGACGUGGGGGAUAACGAGGCGAAAGCUUUGCUAAUACCGCAUACGAUCUAAGGAUGAAAGCAGGGGACCGCAAGGCCUUGCGCGUUUGGAGCGGCCGAUGGCAGAUUAGGUAGUUGGUGGGAUAAAAGCUUACCAAGCCGACGAUCUGUAGCUGGUCUGAGAGGACGACCAGCCACACUGGGACUGAGACACGGCCCAGACUCCUACGGGAGGCAGCAGUGGGGAAUUUUGGACAAUGGGCGAAAGCCUGAUCCAGCAAUGCCGCGUGCAGGAUGAAGGCCUUCGGGUUGUAAACUGCUUUUGUACGGAACGAAAAGGCUCUGGCUAAUACCUGGGGCACAUGACGGUACCGUAAGAAUAAGCACCGGCUAACUACGUG
rnacentral:rRNA from 1 species